rnacentral:lncRNA from 1 species
UUUUUUCCUUUCUGCCUUCAUCCAUCAUUCUCUCAGGAGAAUACCGGCUCAACUCUAGAAACUUUUGGGCAUAUUUUGAUACAGUUAUGUCACCUUGGACCAGGUGUGCAAACUCUAUUUCCUUUAUAUGUCAGAGAUGCUCUGGGAGGUACUUUGCAUUAAAGGCCAUCAAGAAUUGUUCCCAAGUGACUGGAAUGGGCAGGGUGGCCUACUUGAGUUACCACCAGCGGCUUGUCUCUCCCACCAGCAUGUAGGUGGCAAGUAUGACUCUCUAUUCGGGAAUCACCCCAAAAGCGUGA